rnacentral:rRNA from 1 species
UACGAAGGGGGCUAGCGUUGCUCGGAAUUACUGGGCGUAAAGCGCACGUAGGCGGAUUUGUUAGUCAGGGGUGAAAUCCCGAGGCUCAACCUCGGAACUGCCUUUGAUACUGCAAAUCUCGAGUCCGGAAGAGGUGAGUGGAAUUCCUAGUGUAGAGGUGAAAUUCGUAGAUAUUAGGAAGAACACCAGUGGCGAAGGCGGCUCACUGGCCCGGUACUGACGCUGAGACGCGAAAGCGUGGGGAGCGAACCGG